AUGAAGAACGUAGUGAAAUGCGAUAAGUAAUGUGAAUUGCAGAAUUCAGUGAAUCAUCGAAUCUUUGAACGCACCUUGCACUCCUUGGUAUUCCGAGGAGUACGCCUGUUCGAGUGUUAUGAAGCUCUCAAAACGCAAUUGGCUUAAAACCUGAUUGUUGUUUUGGAUUUGAACUUUGCCGUGUUAUAACGGCUGGUUUUAAAAGUAUUAGCUGGUACUAGAACGAAUUGGUUCUACUCAACGUGAUAAUUAUCUGAUCGUUGAGGACAUUCCUUUCACGAGGAAUGGCCAUAGUAAAUUCAAUGGACUGCUUCUAAUCUGGCUUUAAUUCUUUAUUGGAUUAACCACUUUUCAAAUCUGACCUCGAAUCAGGUGGGACUACCCGCUGAACUUAAGCAUAUCAAUAAGCGGAGGA
rnacentral:misc_RNA from 1 species